ACUCGGAUAAGGCACUCUAUUUU
rnacentral:miRNA from 1 species